AUUGAACGCUGGCGGAAUGCUUUACACAUGCAAGUCGAACGGCAGCACGGAGGCAACCCUGGUGGCGAGUGGCGAACGGGUGAGUAAUACAUCGGAACGUGCCCAAUCGUGGGGGAUAACGUAGCGAAAGCUACGCUAAUACCGCAUACGAUCUACGGAUGAAAGCGGGGGAUCGCAAGACCUCGCGCGAAUGGAGCGGCCGAGGGCAGAUUAGGUAGUUGGGGGGGUAAAGGCUCCCCAAGCCGACGAUCUGUAGCUGGUCUGAGAGGACGACCAGCCACACUGGGACUGAGACACGGCCCAGACUCCUACGGGAGGCAGCAGUGGGGAAUUUUGGACAAUGGGCGCAAGCCUGAUCCAGCCAUUCCGCGUGCAGGAUGAAGGCCUUCGGGUUGUAAACUGCUUUUGUACGGAACGAAACGGCUCUCUCUAAUACAGGGGGCUAAUGACGGUACCGUAAGAAUAAGCACCGGCUAACUACGUGCCAGCAGCCGCAGUAACAC
rnacentral:rRNA from 1 species